rnacentral:snRNA from 1 species
UCAGCUCUCUUUGCCAUUAUGGCUUAGAUCAAAUGUAGUAUCUGUUCUAACCAAGUUUAACCGCUGGUUCUGUCCCUCUCAUGGUGACACAUCCUUUCCGGAUUACUAUUUUUGUUAUCGGCGGUGGGAAUGCAGCGCGCUUGACGUGCGGUUCUUGCCCAUUGUGUCCUUGGUAUUACACUGUCUCCAACGGAUGCGAAUUGAAU